rnacentral:misc_RNA from 1 species
GAUGAAGAACGCAGCGAAAUGCGAUAAGUAAUGUGAAUUGCAGAAUCCAGUGAAUCAUCGAAUCUUUGAACGCACAUUGCGCCCGCCAGCAUUCUGGCGGGCAUGCCUGUUCGAGCGUCAUUUCAACCCUCGACCUCCCUUUGGGGAAGUCGGCGUUGGGGACCGGCAGCACACCGCCGGCCCUGAAAUGGAGUGGCGGCCCGUCCGCGGCGACCUCUGCGUAGUAAUCCAACUCGCACCGGAACCCCGACGCGGCCACGCCGUAAAACACCCAACUUCUGAACGUUGACCUCGAAUCAGGUAGGACUACCCGCUGAAUUUAAGCAUAUCAAUAAGCGGAGGA